rnacentral:lncRNA from 1 species
UUCCCUGCCUUCAGUAUUUGGACCUCAUGCCCACUGGGGAGGGAAGCCCACACCUUAUCUGCAGCCUCAUCCACAGACACUUAAAGUCAUUGGAAGGACAGCCCCUUCAGUCAAAAGACGCUGGCAGUCGCUAGCUGAAGAUGGCUACCAGAUGUCUUGGAAAAUAAGAGCUAUCGAUGGAUGCACCACCCGACAGCCUGAAGAAGUCCUCAGGUUGGUGAGCUACACCAGGAACCACAGGGCCCCCAAAGAGCCAGGCAGAGAUGAUCCAGCCAACGCAACCUGUCCCUGGGGCCUGCCCAAUGUGGCCCCAGUCUGCAGGCCUCAGCAGGUAAAGGAAGUAGGACUCAGGUUUGG